UCCCGUUCUGGAAUUACCUACAAAGCCAGUGAAUAACUAUAUCAAAGUCUCUCAUGAUAUUUUGUAGUUAUAACACAUCACCUAGGUUGUGCAUCUACUUUAGUCAUGAUUAUGAAUGGUUUUGGAUAUUUUUUAAAAAAUGAAACUAUCCUUAAAGGACAAAGAUAUAAUGACCAUGAAGAACACUGGAAAUACAGUGCCAUAAGUCCAAAGGAAACUACAAAAGAGAUUUCCAAGAUUAUUUCUAAGCAACAAGGGCCCUGCCUCUCAAGGUGACUAUUUUGACAAAGAUUGGGGAAGGGAAGUAUGCUAACAUUUACAUAGCUUUUCUGAGAGGCACUUUAUCAUAGUGUUUGUGUAUAUGAACCUGGGAGCCAGAAUGGCUUGGAUGGAAUGGUGGAUCUCCAACUUAACAGUUGAGUGUACGCUAUGCUUAUUCUUAGAGGGAUUAAUUACCUGGCAUGAAGUUCAAACAAACGGUAAGCUGCUG
rnacentral:lncRNA from 1 species